AAUGGAGAAAUUGAAGAUGAUGUUAGUGAUUGGUUUGGUUACCUGGCGGGGGACUGUGAGUUUGUGGUGGCGAAGGGACGGCGAACGGCCGUGAGACGGCAGUUUCAGGUGAAUUACGGACAUUUCCCGGUGAUUAAUUUAGACCCGCAAUCUACUUGAUAUAACUACGUGCAGACAUGCCAAGGACUUGGGCAUUGGUCUUGGCAUGGAUGAUGGCAAAACAGUACAACACAAGUUCAAGGUGCUUGGGUGUUGGCAAGGCAGCUUGAACGUGCAUGGAUUACGUGCGGGCUAAAGGCGUUGGCAAGACAGCAUGUUGACUUGAUGAAGCAAGGCUGUGAAGACUUGGCAAGGUCAAAGACAAAGGCAGUUCACCCGAAAUUGCCGAAAUAAAACUAAGUGUGGAAGACAGCUAAAAUAUUCUAAGUGUUGGAAGCUGGCAGGAUUAUUCUAAGUGUUGGAAUGAAGCCUGAAAUAUUCUAAGUGUUAGAAUAUUAGUAUUUCGUGUAGAUAAGAAUGUAAUUUGAAUUAGAUUCUAUCUGUUGGAAAUAUAGCUGUUGGAAAGUUAGUUUUGAACUCUGGGCUGACAUGUGUCGGACAGGUGUCAUGUGUAACCGCCGCAUGUAACUGCCAUUGUGCAGAAUUUUGAUUUAAGGUGGAAAUUCGUCUAAGGCAGGGGACAGAGAGUUUUCUAGCCUUAGACUGAUUUGUGAAGCCUUCCUUUGUAUUAAUUAUCGAUUAAUAAAGGUUGGGACUUGUUCCUGUAAA